rnacentral:misc_RNA from 1 species
GAUGAAGAACGCAGCGUAAUGCGAUAAGUAAUGUGAAUUGCAGAAUUCAGUGAAUCAUCGAAUCUUUGAACGCACAUUGCGCCCGCCAGUAUUCUGGCGGGCAUGCCUGUUCGAGCGUCAUUACAACCCUCAGGCCCCCGGGCCUGGCGUUGGGGAUCGGCGGAGCCCCCCGUGGGCACACGCCGUCCCCCAAAUACAGUGGCGGUCCCGCCGCAGCUUCCAUCGCGUAGUAGCUAACACCUCGCGACUGGAGAGCGGCGCGGCCACGCCGUAAAACACCCAACUCUUCUGAAGUUGACCUCGAAUCAGGUAGGAAUACCCGCUGAACUUAAGCAUAUCAAUAAGCGGAGGA